AACGAACGCUGGCGGCGCGUUUUAAGCAUGCAAGUCGAACGGCAAGGAGGGUAGCAAUACCUUCCCUAGAGUGGCGAACGGGUGAGUAAGACGUAGGUGAUCUACCCCUGGAUGGGGGAUAGUCCGUGGAAACACGGGGUAAUACCGCAUGAGGCCUUGGGGGUGAAGCCCUGAGGUGAAAGCUCCAAUUGGAGCGUCUGGGGAUGAGCCUGCGGCCCAUUAGGCAGUUGGCGGGGUAACGGCCCACCAAACCGACGAUGGGUAGCCGGCCUGAGAGGGUGUACGGCCACACUGGAACUGAGACACGGUCCAGACUCCUACGGGUGGCUG
rnacentral:rRNA from 1 species